GGCCUUAUAGUUAAAAUAAUACUAGAUUGCAGAUCUGGAGGUGAAAUUAAUUUUUCUAAGGCUU
rnacentral:tRNA from 1 species